UACGAAGGGGGCGAGCGUUGUUCGGAUUUACUGGGCGUAAAGGGCUCGUAGGUGGCCAACUAAGUCAGACGUGAAAUCCCUCGGCUUAACCGGGGAACUGCGUCUGAUACUGGAUGGCUUGAGGUUGGGAGAGGGAUGCGGAAUUCCAGGUGUAGCGGUGAAAUGCGUAGAUAUCCGGAGGAACACCGGUGGCGAAGGCGAGUCCCUGGACAACACCUGACACUGAGGCACGAAAGCUAGGGGAGCAAACAGG
rnacentral:rRNA from 1 species